rnacentral:ncRNA from 1 species
AGGUACCGCUUACCCAACUGCUAGCGCCACUCGGUACAAGUGGUCGGCUCGCACGU